ACGAACGCUGGCGGCAUGCCUAACACAUGCAAGUCGAACGAGCUCUUCGGAGCUAGUGGCGCACGGGUGCGUAACGCGUGGGAAUCUGCCCUCUGGUUCGGAAUAACUCAGGGAAACUUGAGCUAAUACCGGAUAAUGACUUCGGUCCAAAGAUUUAUCGCCUGAGGAUGAGCCCGCGUAGGAUUAGCUUGUUGGUGAGGUAAAGGCUCACCAAGGCGACGAUCCUUAGCUGGUCUGAGAGGAUGAUCAGCCACACUGGGACUGAGACACGGCCCAGACUCCUACGGGAGGCAGCAGUGGGGAAUAUUGGACAAUGGGCGAAAGCCUGAUCCAGCAAUGCCGCGUGAGUGAUGAAGGCCUUAGGGUUGUAAAGCUCUUUUACCCGGGAUGAUAAUGACAGUACCGGGAGAAUAAGCCCCGGCUAACUCCGU
rnacentral:rRNA from 1 species